GCCUGGGUGGCUCAGUCGGUUAAGCAUCUGACUUUGGCUCAGGUCAUGAUCUCACAGUUCGUGGGUUCAAGCCCCGUGUUGGGCU
rnacentral:tRNA from 1 species